AGAGUUUGAUCCUGGCUCAGGACGAACGCUGGCAGCGUGCCUAAUACAUGCAAGUAGAACGCUGAAGAGAGGAGCUUGCUCUUCUUGGAUGAGUUGCGAACGGGUGAGUAACGCGUAGGUAACCUGCCUUGUAGCGGGGGAUAACUAUUGGAAACGAUAGCUAAUACCGCAUAACAAUGGAUGACCCAUGUCAUUUAUUUGAAAGGGGCAAAUGCUCCACUACAAGAUGGACCUGCGUUGUAUUAGCUAGUAGGUGAGGUAACGGCUCACCUAGGCGACGAUACAUAGCCGACCUGAGAGGGUGAUCGGCCACACUGGGACUGAGACACGGCCCAGACUCCUACGGGAGGCAGCAGUAGGGAAUCUUCGGCAAUGGGGGCAACCCUGACCGAGCAACGCCGCGUGAGUGAAGAAGGUUUUCGGAUCGUAAAGCUCUGUUGUAAGUCAAGAACGAGUGUGAGAGUGGAAAGUUCACACUGUGACGGUAGCUUACCAGAAAGGGACGGCUAACUACGUGCCAGCAGCCGCGGUAAUACGUAGGUCCCGAGCGUUGCCCGGAUUUAUUGGGCGUAAAGCGAGCGCAGGCGGUUUGAUAAGUCUGAAGUUAAAGGCUGAGGCUCAACCAUAGUUCGCUUUGGAAACUGUCAAACUUGAGUGCAGAAGGGGAGAGUGGAAUUCCAUGUGUAGCGGUGAAAUGCGUAGAUAUAUGGAGGAACACCGGUGGCGAAAGCGGCUCUCUGGUCUGUAACUGACGCUGAGGCUCGAAAGCGUGGGGAGCGAACAGGAUUAGAUACCCUGGUAGUCCACGCCGUAAACGAUGAGUGCUAGGUGUUGGAUCCUUUCCGGGAUUCAGUGCCGCAGCUAACGCAUUAAGCACUCCGCCUGGGGAGUACGACCGCAAGGUUGAAACUCAAAGGAAUUGACGGGGGCCCGCACAAGCGGUGGAGCAUGUGGUUUAAUUCGAAGCAACGCGAAGAACCUUACCAGGUCUUGACAUCCCGAUGCUAUUUCUAGAGAUAGAAAGUUACUUCGGUACAUCGGUGACAGGUGGUGCAUGGUUGUCGUCAGCUCGUGUCGUGAGAUGUUGGGUUAAGUCCCGCAACGAGCGCAACCCCUAUUGUUAGUUGCCAUCAUUCAGUUGGGCACUCUAGCGAGACUGCCGGUAAUAAACCGGAGGAAGGUGGGGAUGACGUCAAAUCAUCAUGCCCCUUAUGACCUGGGCUACACACGUGCUACAAUGGUUGGUACAACGAGUUGCGAGUCGGUGACGGCAAGCUAAUCUCUUAAAGCCAAUCUCAGUUCGGAUUGUAGGCUGCAACUCGCCUACAUGAAGUCGGAAUCGCUAGUAAUCGCGGAUCAGCACGCCGCGGUGAAUACGUUCCCGGGCCUUGUACACACCGCCCGUCACACCACGAGAGUUUGUAACACCCGAAGUCGGUGAGGUAACCUUUUGGAGCCAGCCGCCUAAGGUGGGAUAGAUGAUUGGGGUGAAGUCGUAACAAGGUA
rnacentral:rRNA from 1 species